UCAGCGACUUAUAUUCUGUAGCAAGGUUAACCGAAUAGGGGAGCCGAAGGGAAACCGAGUCUUAACUGGGCGUUAAGUUGCAGGGUAUAGACCCGAAACCCGGUGAUCUAGCCAUGGGCAGGUUGAAGGUUGGGUAACACUAACUGGAGGACCGAACCGACUAAUGUUGAAAAAUUAGCGGAUGACUUGUGGCUGGGGGUGAAAGGCCAAUCAAACCGGGAGAUAGCUGGUUCUCCCCGAAAGCUAUUUAGGUAGCGCCUCGUGAACUCAUCUCCGGGGGUAGAGCACUGUUUCGGCAAGGGGGUCAUCCCGACUUACCAACCCGAUGCAAACUGCGAAUACCGGAGAAUGUUAUCACGGGAGACACACGGCGGGUGCUAACGUCCGUCGUGAAGAGGGAAACAACCCAGACCGCCAGCUAAGGUCCCAAAGUCAUGGUUAAGUGGGAAACGAUGUGGGAAGGCCCAGACAGCCAGGAUGUUGGCUUAGAAGCAGCCAUCAUUUAAAGAAAGCGUAAUAGCUCACUGGUCGAGUCGGCCUGCGCGGAAGAUGUAACGGGGCUAAACCAUG
rnacentral:rRNA from 1 species